GGAUGUGAGGACGAUCUAGCUGCGACAUCUGUCACCCCAAUGAUUGCCAGGGUUGAUUCAGUUGAUCUGGCUGGCUAGGUGGAUAUCCCCUUACUCCCUCACUGCUCCAGGUGCACCCCUCCUGAAGCUGCACAAUUGGUGAAAAAAGAGGAUCUUCCCCCCUUAGAGGAAGGUCAAGGGUAUAUGAGUAUACCAGUAUAGGAGUACACCCUUUGGUCAAGGGUAUACAAGUAGCUGCGCUCCCCUGCUAGAACCUCCAAACAAGCUCUUAAAAAAAGAUUUAUUUGGAAGUCAGAGUUACAGACAAGACAGGGAGAGACACAGAGAGAUUGCCCCUUCAC
rnacentral:snRNA from 1 species